GAUGAACGCUGGCGGCGUGCCUAAUACAUGCAAGUCGAGCGAACGGACGAGAAGCUUGCUUCUCUGAUGUUAGCGGCGGACGGGUGAGUAACACGUGGAUAACCUACCUAUAAGACUGGGGUAACUUCGGGAAACCGGAGCUAAUACCGGAUAAUAUUUUGAACCGCAUGGUUCAAAAGUGAAAGACGGUCUUGCUGUCACUUAUAGAUGGAUCCGCGCUGCAUUAGCUAGUUGGUGAGGUAACGGCUUACCAAGGCAACGAUGCAUAGCCGACCUGAGAGGGUGAUCGGCCACACUGGAACUGAGACACGGUCCAGACUCCUACGGGAGGCAGCAGUAGGGAAUCUUCCGCAAUGGGCGAAAGCCUGACGGAGCAACGCCGCGUGAGUGAUGAAGGUCUUCGGAUCGUAAAACUCUGUUAUUAGGGAAGAACAUAUGUGUAAGUAACUGUGCACAUCUUGACGGUACCUAAUCAGAAAGCCACGGCUAACUACGUG
rnacentral:rRNA from 1 species